rnacentral:rRNA from 1 species
GGUCGAAGGGAGAAAUUCAUUCGCGUUUCGGCCGGCGGUGUGGGGCGUUCGAGUGACGAGCGGCGUUCGCGCGUCGCGAGCACCUUUCGCCCUUCCGACCGUCGUCGAACGCGUGCACUUUUCUCCUGGUAGGACGUCGCGAUCCGUUGGGCGUUUGUCUAAGGCCCGGGGUGGAGCCCGCGCGGCGACUUCGUUCGCGCGGACCCUCGGCGUCCCGGCAAACACGCUCGACGGUAUGACGAUGGCGCGGGGCCGCUACACACAGUUAGCGUUCGGCCCGCAGCAAGCACGUACCGCGCUUGAAGGUGAUCGGACCCGGUGCCGAUCCCGUCCCGGUGCGUCUGUUGGUUGCGGUGUUCUCGAACAGACCUCGU